rnacentral:rRNA from 1 species
GACGAAGGGGGCUAGCGUUGUUCGGAAUUACUGGGCGUAAAGCGAGUGUAGGCGGUUGUCCAAGUUGGAUGUGAAAGCCUUGAGCUCAACUCAAGAAAUGCAUUCAGGACUGGGCGGCUAGAGGACCGGAGAGGAUAGUGGAAUUCCCAGUGUAGUGGUGAAAUACGUAGAGAUUGGGAAGAACACCAGUGGCGAAGGCGGCUAUCUGGACGGUUUCUGACACUAAGACUCGAAAGCGUGGGGAGCAAACAGG